AUUGAACGCUGGCGGCAGGCCUAACACAUGCAAGUCGAGCGAGCGGCGGACGGGUGAGUAAUGUAUGGGGACUGCCCGAUAGAGGGGGAUAACUACUGGAAACGGUGGCUAAUACCGCAUACUAUCGGAUAACCCAUAUGGGAUUAGCUAGUGGGUGGGGUAAAGGCUCACCUAGGCGACGAUCUCUAGCUGGUCUGAGAGGAUGAGCAGCCACACUGGGACUGAGACACGGCCCAGACUCCUACGGAGGCAGCAGUGGGGAAUAUUGCACAAUGGGGGCAGGCCUUAUACAACCAUGCCGCGUGUAUGAAGAAGGCCUUCGGGUUGUAAAGCACUUUCAGCGAGGAGGCGUUACUCGCAGAAGAAGCACCGGCUAACUCCGUGCCAGCAGCCGCGGUAAUUC
rnacentral:rRNA from 1 species